GAUGAACGCUGGCGGCGUGCCUAAUACAUGCAAGUCGAGCGAACAGACGAGGAGCUUGCUCCUCUGACGUUAGCGGCGGACGGGUGAGUAACACGUGGAUAACCUACCUAUAAGACUGGGAUAACUUCGGGAAACCGGAGCUAAUACCGGAUAAUAUAUUGAACCGCAUGGUUCAAUAGUGAAAGACGGUUUUGCUGUCACUUAUAGAUGGAUCCGCGCCGCAUUAGCUAGUUGGUAAGGUAACGGCUUACCAAGGCAACGAUGCGUAGCCGACCUGAGAGGGUGAUCGGCCACACUGGAACUGAGACACGGUCCAGACUCCUACGGGAGGCAGCAGUAGGGAAUCUUCCGCAAUGGGCGAAAGCCUGACGGAGCAACGCCGCGUGAGUGAUGAAGGUCUUCGGAUCGUAAAACUCUGUUAUUAGGGAAGAACAAAUGUGUAAGUACCUAUGCACGUCUUGACGGUACCUAAUCAGAAAGCCACGGCUAACUACGUG
rnacentral:rRNA from 1 species